CCUACGAGUGGCAGCAGUGAGGAAUAUUGGUCAAUGGUCGGGAGACUGAACCAGCCAAGCCGCGUGAGGGAGGAAGGUACAGAGUAUCGUAAACCUCUUUUGUCAGGGAACAAAGACUGGGACGCGUCCCCGGAUGAGUGUACCUGAAGCAAAAGCAUCGGCUAACUCCGUGCCAUCAGCCGCGGUAAUACGGAGGAUGCGAGCGUUAUCCGGUUUUAUUGGGUGUAAAGGGUGCGCAGGCGGUCUGUUAAGUCAGCGGUAAAAGCCCGGGGCCCAACCCCGGCCCGCCGUUGAAACUGGCAGUCUCGAGUUGGAGAGAAGUAUGCGGAAUGCGCGGGGUAGCGGUGACAUGCAUAGAUAUCGCGCAGAACUCCGAUUGCGAAGGCAGCAUGCCGGCUCCACACUGACGCUGAGGCACGAAAGCGUGGGUAUCGAACAGGAUUAGAUACCCGAGUAGUC
rnacentral:rRNA from 1 species